rfam:Candida parapsilosis strain CDC317 annotated contig 006139
GGCAACUUGUCCGAGUGGUUAAGGAGAAAGACUUGAAUAAUUUCAAGGUAUCUUUUGGGCUCUGCCCGCGUAGGUUCGAGUCCUGCAGUUGUCG